GCAGCAACACAUAAAGAAGAUGCAAUUGGGCCAUCUGCUUUGAUUUCUGCAGCGUCCCCAGAGAUCCAAGGGAGGAGCUGACAGUCCUCUCCAUCUGCCUUUACGUUAUCAAUUACAGUUGAAUUAUGCCGCAUGCUGCAGGGCUGGCAGAUACGGAUGGGAGAUUGUGGCACCUGAAAAAUAUAGAAGAAAAUCCAUAUGUU
rnacentral:lncRNA from 1 species